AAUAUUGCACAAUGGGCGAAAGCCUGAUGCAGCAACGCCGCGUGAGGGAUGAUGGCCUUCGGGUUGUAAACCUCUUUUAGUAGGGAAGAAGCGAAAGUGUCGGUACCUGAAGAAAUAGCACCGGCUAACUACGUGCCUGCAGCCGCGGGAAUACGUAGGGUGCAAGCGUUGUCCGGAAUUAUUGGGCGUAAAGAGAUCGUAGGCGGCUUGUCGCGGCUGCUGUGAAAUCCCGGAGCUCAACGCCGGGCGUGCUGUGGGUACGGGCAGGCUAGAGUGCGGUAGGGGAGAUUGGAAUUCCUGGUGUAGCGGUGGAAUGCGCAGAUAUCAGGAGGAACACCGAUGGCGAAGGCAGAUCUCUGGGCCGCUACUGACGCUGAGGAGCGAAAGCAUGGGGAGCGAACA
rnacentral:rRNA from 1 species